UACGUAGGGGGCCAGCGUUGUCCGGAAUCAUUGGGCGUAAAGCGCGCGUAGGCGGUCAGGUAAGUCCGCUGUAAAAGUCCAGGCUCAACCCUGGAACGCCGGUGGAUACUGUCGGGCUAGAGUCCGGAAGAGGCGAGUGGAAUUCCUGGUGUAGCGGUGGAAUGCGCAGAUAUCAGGAGGAACACCGAUGGCGAAGGCAGCUCGCUGGGACGGUACUGACGCUGGAGGCGACGAAAGCGUGGGGAGCGAACAGGA
rnacentral:rRNA from 1 species